rnacentral:rRNA from 1 species
AGUGAACGCUGGCGGUAGGCCUAACACAUGCAAGUCGAACGGCAGCACAGUAAGAGCUUGCUCUUACGGGUGGCGAGUGGCGGACGGGUGAGGAAUACAUCGGAAUCUACUUUUUCGUGGGGGAUAACGUAGGGAAACUUACGCUAAUACCGCAUACGACCUACGGGUGAAAGCAGGGGAUCUUCGGACCUUGCGCGAUUGAAUGAGCCGAUGUCGGAUUAGCUAGUUGGCGGGGUAAAGGCCCACCAAGGCGACGAUCCGUAGCUGGUCUGAGAGGAUGAUCAGCCGCACUGGAACUGGGACACGGUCCAGACUCCUACGGGAGGCAGCAGUGGGGAAUAUUGGGCAAUGGGCGCAAGCCUGAUCCAGCCAUACCGCGUGGGUGAAGAAGGCCUUCGGGUUGUAAAGCCCUUUUGUUGGGAAAGAAAAGCAGCAGGUUAAUACCCCGCUGUUCUGACGGUACCCAAAGAAUAAGCACCGGCUAACUUCGUG